CUCCGGAAAUGGGGUGACCUCGGCAGGUGGCCCAAUGAGCGACAGCAGGACGGGCAGAAGAACAAGGCCAUUGAGAACACCCAACAGUGUCAGGAUAGCCAGCACGGCAAAGAAGUACCUGCAGAACGAAGUGGAAAGAAAGUUGUGGCUCUUCAGGGAACCUGGGAUCACCAGAGUGCCUCCAUUUCCAGAAAAUAUGAGUUUACAUUAGAGAGCAGAUCCCACACAGGAAAGACUCCCCUGACGAGAGAGGAAAAUUAAUGCAGCACUCUGCCGCCUAAAGUCCCACCAUUCUGCUUGAGGCUCCAACCCAUGAGGGCAGUAUGCGCCAUACUGGCAUAAGUGAAAUCCGCAGCAUUUCUUAGUUAAAAAUAAGAGAAUCUUUGCUUUGAGGAUCUCUGGCGGCCGCCUGUGCUGCACUCAGGCCUGCACGUCCUACAUGUCUGCCUGGCUCAUAAAGCAAAGCUCAUAGUCACCAGCACAUACUUUUUAAUGGGACUGUGCAGCCUCUACAGCAGAGAGCAUCUCCUACGGCAGAGAGCAUCUCCUACGGCAGAGACCAUCUCCUACGGCAGAGACCAUCUCCUACAGCAGACCAUCUCCUACGGCAGAGAGCAUCUCCUACGGCAGAGAGCAUCUCGUACGGCAGAGACCAUCUCCUACAGCAGACCAUCUCCUACGGCAGAGAGCAUCUCCUACGGCAGAGAGCAUCUCCUACAGCAGGAUUCCAUUCUGCUCACUUAUGUACCAAAACCAUCAGAGUGCAAGACCAGGCCGGGCUUGCUCACAGCUCUUUUGUACUAAGAUUUAGAUCAAAUUAAGCUGUAAAGAAAUGGAAAAACAGAUUAAAACUGCUGGUUUUCCAACUUCUAUUUGCUUUUAUUUAGAUAGAGAGGACUUCUAUUCAGCUUACGUGAAAAAUGAAAAUAGUCUCUUGUUUAUUUUACUAAGCCAACAUUUGGAAAGUAGAGAGAGAUUUAUUUUGGGAGUAAAAAUGCUGCCUCUGUGUUGGGCCCGACAGGAUGGGACCUCCAAAGGGCCGGGUGUCAGCAAUUCUGUUGUUUAUACAAACUGUAAUCUUUUCCAUUUGGAAUCAGACUCUCCUUGCGGAGAUGGGCCACUGAGCUUGUUCAGCUGUUUAUCCAACGUGCCACAGCGAGGAGAUGUUUACAGCAGCUUCCAUCUAAACAGGACCUCCCAGCGUGAGGGCGCCAUGGAGGGCCACCUUCAAGGCCCCUCCCCCGCUGAGGCUCAGCCCUCUCCCUGCCUUCAUCCUGCUCCUCUUUCCCUAAGUCUUUGGCCGUAAAAUAAAUGUAUUGUUUCAGUGUUCAUUCUCUCUC